rnacentral:siRNA from 1 species
UUCAACUGUUUGUCAUUCCGGCCA